rnacentral:rRNA from 1 species
GAUGAACGCUGGCUACAGGCUUAACACAUGCAAGUCGAGGGGAAACGACGGGGAAGCUUGCUUCCCCGGGCGUCGACCGGCGCACGGGUGAGUAACGCGUAUCCAACCUGCCUCUGACUGAGGGAUAACCCGUCGAAAGUCGGCCUAAUACCUCAUGGCAUCGUCUGCGGGCAUCCAACGACGAUUAAAGAUUUCAUCGGUCAGGGAUGGGGAUGCGUCUGAUUAGCUUGUUGGCGGGGUAACGGCCCACCAAGGCUACGAUCAGUAGGGGUUCUGAGAGGAAGGUCCCCCACAUUGGAACUGAGACACGGUCCAAACUCCUACGCGAGGCAGCAGUGAGGAAUAUUGGUCAAUGGGCGGGAGCCUGAACCAGCCAAGUAGCGUGCAGGAUGACGGCCCUAUGGGGUGUAAACUGCUUUUAUGCGGGGAUAAAGUGAGGGACGUGUCCUUCAUUGCAGGUACCGCAUGAAUAAGGACCGGCUAAUUCCGU